GUUUGACUGCCUAUGAGGCGGAGCCAGCUCGCGGUGAUGGGGAUGGCAGCCCGCCUUCUGCUACAGGUUCGGAUCCGCUGUCGCCGAUCGCCGGUCGGGUCUUCAAACUCUCUGCAAGAGAUCAUGGCUGCUCCAGCCUGCUGAGCUUUUAUUUUGCAAGUCUCUAGUUGGGGUUUGACCAGGACCUGGAGCGCAUUUUCUAUGGUCUGAUUCCUAGCAAGCUGUUAAUGUGGUUGCCCAUCCGAUAGGCUGCACUAGCAAUGGAGCUAUCAUAGGGAUGGGAGAAAGGACUGGCAGCUAUUGUUUUGGAGACUAUUCAAACUGACCGAACACUACCAAGAGACUACACUUGGACUGAUCUCAUCCCAGCUGACAUGGGCAUGGACACUCUUCUUUCUCUUCCAAGUUGAUACUGCUCCUGGAACCGCUCUUCGCUUUCUGGAGAUGCCUUCACUGACGCCUGAAACCGUUGGAUCGAUGCUGUCUUCUGUUUGUGUGUCACUGAUCUUGAUCGGUUAAUCAGGCCGGGGAUGGAUGAUGGCUGGCUGGUGCAGGCCACCUGUCCUCGUGCCAUUGCUGUGCCAUGUGAUUGGAGCAUCAUGGAUUUUUAUGCAGAGCCAUGGCCACAAGCAUCAGACAUUGUCCAAACUGCUUAGGUUCAUCUUCCACCUCUGCUGGAUGGGUGAUGGCCCCUUUCAUCUUCCAUUAGACGACAACACUGAGGACAGGUGUGCUCGAAUGCCAAAGUCACGACAACACACAAUUUCUUGAAAUCAAAACUGGAUUCUACUUUCUGAUGGAUUGUAACUUGUGACUUAUCCUUAAAAAUCAUUCUGAAUGUGUGAUUGACAUUUUUCA